rnacentral:rRNA from 1 species
AUUGAACGCUGGCGGCAUGCCUUACACAUGCAAGUCGAACGGUAACAGAUCUUCGGAUGCUGACGAGUGGCGAACGGGUGAGUAAUACAUCGGAACGUGCCUAGUAGUGGGGGAUAACUACUCGAAAGAGUGGCUAAUACCGCAUGAGAUCUACGGAUGAAAGCAGGGGAUUGCAAGCCCUUGUGCUACUAGAGCGGCCGAUGGCAGAGUAGGUAGUUGGUGGGAUAAAAGCUUACCAAGCCGACGAUCUGUAGCUGGUCUGAGAGGACAAUCAGCCACACUGGGACUGAGACACGGCCCAGACUCCUACGGGAGGCAGCAGUGGGGAAUUUUGGACAAUGGGCGCAAGCCUGAUCCAGCAAUGCCGCGUGCAGGAUGAAGGCCUUCGGGUUGUAAACUGCUUUUGUACGGAACGAAAAGCCCUGGGUUAAUACCCUGGGGUCAUGACGGUACCGUAAGAAUAAGCACCGGCUAACUACGUGCCAGCCGCCGCAGUAAUAC